GGAUGUGAGGGGGUCUGGCUGCGACAUCUGUCACCCCACUGAUUGGCAGGGUUGAUCUGGCUGAUCUGGCUGGCUAGGCGUGUGUCCCCUUCCUCCCUCACUGCUCCAUGUACGUCCCUCCCGAAGCUGCGAGCUCGAAGACAACGACCUUCCCCACUAGACAAGGACUGGUCUUCAGUGAGGGUAUAGGAGUUGCUGCACUCCCCUGCUAGAACCUCCAAGCAAAAACACCCAGCAGCCUGUUAAAGGGGAUGACUGGUAUGUGCAAAGAAGUAAAGGCAUGAAGUUCAUGUCUGGUAUCAU
rnacentral:snRNA from 1 species